CGCUGGCGGCGUGCUUAACACAUGCAAGUCGAGCGGUAAGGCCUUUCGGGGUACACGAGCGGCGAACGGGUGAGUAACACGUGGGUGAUCUGCCCUGCACUUCGGGAUAAGCCUGGGAAACUGGGUCUAAUACCGGAUAUGACCUCCUAUCGCAUNNNCGACGGGUAGCCGACCUGAGAGGUGACCGGCCACACUGGGACUGAGACACGGCCCAGACUCCUACGGGAGGCAGCAGUGGGGAAUAUUGCACAAUGGGCGAAAGCCUGAUGCAGCGACGCCGCGUGAGGGACGACGGCUUCGGGUUGUAAACCUCUUUCAGCAGGGACGAAGCGCAAGUGACGGUACCUGCAGAAGAAGCACCUGUCCGGAAUUACUGGGCGUAAAGAGUUCGUAGGCGGUUUGUCACGUCGUUUGUGAAAACUCACAGCUCAACUGUGAGCCUGCAGGCGUACGGGCAGACUUGAGUACUGCAGGGGAGACUGGAAUUCCUGGUGUAGCGGUGAAUGCGAGAUAUAGGAGGACACCGGUGGCGAAGGCGGGNNNNNNNNNNNACGUCAAGUCAUCAUGCCCCUUAUGUCCAGGGCUUCACACAUGCUACAAUGGCCAGUACAGAGGCUGCGAGACCGUGAGGUGGACGAAUCCUAAGCUGGUCUCAGUUCGGAUCGGGUCUGCAACUCGACCCCGUGAAGUCGGAGUCGCUAGUAAUCGCAGAUCAGCAACGCUGCGGUGAAUACGUUCCCGGGCCUUGUACACACCGCCCGUCACGUCAUGAAAGUCGGUAACACCCGAAGCCGGUGGCUUAACCCCUUGUGGGAGGGAGCCGGCGAAGGUGGGAUCGGCGAUUGGGACGAAGUCGUAACAAGGUAG
rnacentral:rRNA from 1 species